rnacentral:rRNA from 1 species
AUUGAACGCUGGCGGCAGGCCUAACACAUGCAAGUCGAACGAGUGGCGGACGGGUGAGUAAUGUCUGGGAAACUGCCUGAUGGAGGGGGAUAACUACUGGAAACGGUAGCUAAUACCGCAUACCAUCGGAUGUGCCCAGAUGGGAUUAGCUAGUAGGUGGGGUAAAGGCUCACCUAGGCGACGAUCCCUAGCUGGUCUGAGAGGAUGACCAGCCACACUGUAGCGGAGACACGGUCCAGACUCCUACGGGAGGCAGCAGUGGGGAAUAUUGCACAAUGGGCGCAAGCCUAAUAGAGCCAUGCCGCGUGUAUGAAAAGGGCCUGCGGGUUGUAAAGUACUUUCAGCGGGGAGGCGUUACCCGCAGAAGAAGCACCGGGUAACUCCGUGCCAGCAGCCGCGGUAAUAC